AGUAGUAUAGCUGGGUCAUAUGAUGACUCCAUUCCUAGUUUUUUGAGAAAUCUCCAUACUGCUUUCCAAAAUGGUUAUACUAAUUUUCAGUCCCAUCAACAAU
rnacentral:pre_miRNA from 1 species